CCGGCAAACGGGUGCGGAACACGUACGCAACCUUCCUUUAACUGGAGAAUAGCCCCUCGAAAGAGGGAUUAAUACUCCGUAACAUCCCGGGAUGGCAUCAUUUCGGGAUUAUAGCUCCGGCGGUUAAAGAUGGGCGUGCGCCUGAUUAGAUAGUUGGCGGGGUAAUGGCCCACCAAGUCUACGAUCAGUAACUGGUGUGAGAGCACGACCAGUCACACGGGCACUGAGACACGGGCCCG
rnacentral:rRNA from 1 species